GCUUAAUUUGACUCAACACGGGGAAACUUACCAGGUCCAGACAUAGUAAGGAUUGACAGACUGAGAGCUCUUUCGAUUUUUGGGUAAAUGUAAAUUAAAUAUAUACCCGAACAGCA
rnacentral:ncRNA from 1 species